CCAGGAUGUUGGCUUAGAAGCAGCCAUCAUUUAAAGAAAGCGUAAUAGCUCACUGGUCGAGUCGGCCUGCGCGGAAGAUGUAACGGGGCUAAACCAUGCACCGAAGCUGCGGCAGCGACGCUUAUGCGUUGUUGGGUAGGGGAGCGUUCUGUAAGCCGUUGAAGGUGGUCUGUGAGGGCUGCUGGAGGUAUCAGAAGUGCGAAUGCUGACAUAAGUAACGAUAAAGCGGGUGAAAAGCCCGCUCGCCGGAAGACCAAGGGUUCCUGUCCAACGUUAAUCGGGGCAGGGUGAGUCGACCCCUAAGGCGAGGCCGAAAGGCGUAGUCGAUGGGAAACAGGUUAAUAUUCCUGUACUUGGUGUUACUGCGAAGGGGGGACGGAGAAGGCUAUGUUAGCCGGGCGACGGUUGUCCCGGUUUAAGCAUGUAGGCGGAGGUUCCAGGUAAAUCCGGUACCUUUUAACGCUGAGGUGUGAUGACGAGGCACUACGGUGCUGAAGUAACAAAUGCCCUGCUUCCAGGAAAAGCCUCUAAGCAUCAGGUAACAUCAAAUCGUACCCCAAACCGACACAGGUGGUCAGGUAGAGAAUACCAAGGCGCUUGAGAGAACUCGGGUGAAGGAACUAGGCAAAAUGGUGCCGUAACUUCGGGAGAAGGCACGCUGAUAUGUAGGUGAAGCCCCUGCGGGUGGAGCUGAAAUCAGUCGAAGAUACCAGCUGGCUGCAACUGUUUAUUAAAAACACAGCACUGUGCAAACACGAAAGUGGACGUAUACGGUGUGACGCCUGCCCGGUGCCGGAAGGUUAAUUGAUGGGGUUAGCGGCAACGCGAAGCUCUUGAUCGAAGCCCCGGUAAACGGCGGCCGUAACUAUAACGGUCCUAAGGUAGCGAAAUUCCUUGUCGGGUAAGUUCCGACCUGCACGAAUGGCGUAAUGAUGGCCAGGCUGUCUCCACCCGAGACUCAGUGAAAUUGAACUCGCUGUGAAGAUGCAGUGUACCCGCGGCAAGACGGAAAGACCCCGUGAACCUUUACUAUAGCUUGACACUGAACACUGGUCCUUGAUGUGUAGGAUAGGUGGGAGGCUUUGAAGCGUGGACGCCAGUCUGCGUGGAGCCGUCCUUGAAAUACCACCCUUUAAUGGCUGGUGUUCUAACGUAGACCCGUUACCCGGGUUGCGGACAGUGUCUGGUGGGUAGUUUGACUGGGGCGGUCUCCUCCCAAAGAGUAACGGAGGAGCACGAAGGUUAGCUAAUCCUGGUCGGACAUCAGGAGGUUAGUGCAAUGGCAUAAGCUAGCUUGACUGCGAGAGUGACGGCUCGAGCAGGUGCGAAAGCAGGUCAUAGUGAUCCGGUGGUUCUGAAUGGAAGGGCCAUCGCUCAACGGAUAAAAGGUACUCCGGGGAUAACAGGCUGAUACCGCCCAAGAGUUCAUAUCGACGGCGGUGUUUGGCACCUCGAUGUCGGCUCAUCACAUCCUGGGGCUGAAGUAGGUCCCAAGGGUAUGGCUGUUCGCCAUUUAAAGUGGUACGCGAGCUGGGUUUAGAACGUCGUGAGACAGUUCGGUCCCUAUCUGCCGUGGGCGCUGGAGAAUUGAGGGGGGCUGCUCCUAGUACGAGAGGACCGGAGUGGACGCAUCACUGGUGUUCGGGUUGUCAUGCCAAUGGCACUGCCCGGUAGCUAAAUGCGGAAGAGAUAAGUGCUGAAAGCAUCUAAGCACGAAACUUGCCCCGAGAUGAGUUCUCCCUGAGACUUAAAGUCUCCUGAAGGAACGUUGAAGACGACGACGUUGAUAGGUCGGGUGUGUAAGCGCAGCGAUGCGUUGAGCUAACCGAUACUAAUGAACCGUGAGGCUUAACCU
rnacentral:rRNA from 1 species